UGCAAGCGCACUCUGUGUCACGUUGAAUUUCGAUACCCACAUGUGAUGACAAUUUGUUAACUUGCUAAAAUAAACUGAUGCUGCGACUUAUCCAUGUGAUCAUGUCCUCAAAAUAAAAUGAUUGCAUUGAAUACGCGCAUUACAUUUG